rfam:Chlamydotis undulata macqueenii contig54250, whole genome shotgun sequence.
CUACAGGUUUUUUUUAAAACCAACAGAAAAUUGUAAAGCAGAGACU